CGGUCCGCGGCUUGAAGGAGCCGCUCCCUGGUGCCGGGCUGGCACUCGGGAGAGCUGUGCCACUGCCCUGCUGGGGGACCCUGGACAAGGGCCUUCCCUCUCUGUGCCUCUGCCGCGCCCCCCUCCCCGGCUUCCUGAGCUCUUCGGGAUGAAACAGAUCACUGGUGACUCUCUCUGGAUUCAUAACCACUGUCUCAUAAAGAUAGAGAAAUAAUAAAAUGGUCUUGUAAUUAAAGUGAGAUUGCCACUUCCUCCCAGAUGAAUUCAGUACCAUUCUACUCCAGCAGUAAAACAGGAGACUUGCUUUGAUGAUCCACUCUGGGAUGGCAGUGUUAUUGUUGGAUUCCAAAGUUCCCUGGAAGAUAAAUCCAUCCCUACCUAACGAUGAGAAAACAGACACAGAGAGAGGUUCACAGCCAGAGCAAAUGACAGCCAGAAAGAGAACUUGGGUUUUCUAGACUCCCCAACAAUGGCUUGUACCCCGUGCCUAUACUGUCUCCCAGAAAAAAACUAUUUGUCACCCAAAAUCAUAGACACUAGAGAAGGAAAAACAUCUUUAUCUCCCUGUUCAGGAUUUUUAUAGUCUUGCUCAAUCUGAUUUUAAAAGUCCCAAAUGAUGGGAGUUUUAUUCUUUCCAUGGGAGACUAUUCCCCAGACAAAUACAUUUCAUUGUCAAGAAACUUUUACCGAUGUUCAGCUUACAUUUUCCUUUAUUUUAUUUUUAGUAAUUGUGGAGCUGUGAUGAUUUACACCAGCUGAGGAUCUGGCCCAGAACUGGGCUUAAGUGUUUAUGCCCUAGCCAAUCUUUUAUAGACUGUUAUGUAUCUUCAGUUAUUGUUAACCACACUAGACAUAUUUAUCUUAAUCAGUCUUCACAAGUCAACCCUUCUAGUUCUCUAAUUGUUGCCAUUCUCUGCAUUCUUUCCAGUUUGCCAAUAUCUUUCUGAUAACAUGAAGUCCAGAAUUCUUUAUAUGAUUGGCUUCAAUCACCUACCUCAAUCAUUUAUUCCAUAAACUUGUUUUUCCUGGUAAGAAGAUGUAUGCCUAAAUUACCUAGGUACUCCUAGUAUGUAGAUUAUAUGACAUGCCUUAUUUUUAACUCCUCAUUAAUGUAUCUCUAUACAUUAUACUGAUUUUUCAUAAUUUCAUAAUCUCUAUUGUAUCAACCCAAAAUCCCUUCUUUUCUAAACAGAGUAAUCCCAAUUCUCCUAAUCAUUCUGUACAAAUCUGUAUAAUAAAUAUCCUUUAAGGCUCA